rnacentral:rRNA from 1 species
UUGUCUUCUAAAUAAAGACUAGUAUGAACGGCUAAAUGAGGACAAACCUGUCUCUUACAGCUAAUCAGUGAAACUGAUCUUCCAGUACAAAAGCUGGAAUCUACACAUAAGACGAGAAGACCCUGUGGAGCUUCAAACUAACCACUAAUAAACACGUACUAAAUUUGUACCUAGUGCUUUGUUUUAAGUUGGGGCGACUUUGGAACAAAACAAAACUUCCAAGCACAGAAUCACAACUUCUAACUGAGGCCAACAAGCCAAAGUAUCUACCAUCAGACCCAGUAAAACUGAUCAACGAACCAAGUUACCCCAGGGAUAACAGCGCUAUCUUCUUUAAGAGCCCAUAUCAACAAGAAGGUUUACGACCUCGAUGUUGGAUCAGGACACCCAAAUGGUGCAGCCGCUAUUAAAGGUUCGUUUGUUCAACGAUU